ensembl:misc_RNA
GUGCCAGCCAUGGCCACUAAAGUCCUGUAUUUAUCUGUAGAGCAGAUACAGCGUGGGCAGCGCCAGAGAGCCCUUCCCCACCCUGGCCCGCCCAUGUGCCUCCACCCUGACCUGGAGAGACCACCUGUAGGGUAAGAGAGGAGCCCCAUUCCCUCUGCCUUCCCCAUUCUCUGACUUCU